CACAAGAAAAAAAAAAGUGUUCAGUUCUUAUAAAUCUAUGGAUUAUUCAGUACAACACUUUAUUUGAGAGACAUUCCCCAUGGGAUUUGCAGCUUGCAAGUGCUGUUGUCGGCUGUGCUCUCAGUAUGAGCGGGGCAUGCUGGAGGGAUCAGUGCACCCUGUGGACCCCAACGAACCAUCUGUCAGGGAAUUCCCAGCCUCUGCCGCAGCAGCAUUUCUGCUACCCACUGUGUAAAAUGAGAGCUUCCAGGAAUGUUAGCACCAAAAAUACCAGAAUUGCUGAAACGCUGAUCGUUCAGAGCGAGACUUCUUAUCCCAACACUUCCCAACACUAAGAUGCAGCUGGGCACUGGACUCUGGAGAUGCAAGCAUCAAUAGAAGAGAACUGGACAGUGGGUCCUGGGUGAGGACAUGACAUUAAGAAUGCCCUUUCCAUCACUCACUAAAAGCAGCUGAGGAGCUCCUGUUACAGAGCAGUACUGGAUGACACGCUUGGUGUUCACAGUCUUCCCUGCACCGGAUUCUCCGCUGUCAAAGCAAAGAGAGAAGCAGAGAGCGUGUGGUCAGGCAGGAGAUCCCCUGGCACCGGGCAGCCCCGCAGGGACCCAGCAGGGAGUGUACGUACGUGAUCAGGAUCGACUGGUUCUCACGAUCUGUGUAGGAGGAAGAAACAAGUAGACUUGGUAAAUGAAGAACAUAAAAAGACUGAAAAUUAAUGCAGUUAAAUCUUCAGUCUUGACAGUGACCUUCCCUGAUUCCCUACUCUGGAUUGUCCCUUUCACAAAGGAUUCCUUGGGAUGCACCACAAAGACAGAUGAUUUGGCAUCGAAAGGCUUGUUCUGGGCCUCGAUUCUCUCCUUUUCUGACUUUCGGAGUGUUGCUGUGACGGAGGCACUCGACUCCUGCUCCCACCUAUGACAGGCUGCCACCUUAAAUCAAGUGCACUGAUAUUUACUUAACAAUGGCAGAAAUGUGUUGCAAGUGACUUAACUCCGGGAAGUAGUAAGUAAGCAAAUGGUGCAUAAGGACAGAUAAUACGGUAAGUUAAAAUACCACAUCAUUAAUUAUUUCUUUGUAUGCUUGUUGUUUGUGCAAAUAAUUAUAUACAAAGUUAUAAAACUUAAGUCAAGAACUUACAAAGCCAGAUAUCAAAUGCAAUACUGGAUUUCCAAGGAACUACCACAUGCCCAGUAAUAGAAAGCACUUGAGUUCCUUGGAAGUUAGACAAAGAAAGAACUUAUUUGGAUGUUAUGUCAUGACUUUUAGUUACUUAAAUAAGCCAAUCAAAUAUUAAUAUCUGAAACAACACAUAGUAGCAUGCAGAUCCUUAAUUUUGUUGUGUUUUCAUUCAGAGGAAUAGAAGCAGCACUUUGUCUAUUUAUUUAGUUGGUUAGUUGAUUUUUUUAAUUUUUACUGAGUUUCCUAGUAUGAGACCCACAUGCAGAUUAUAACUCUGCAGUAUUAACUGAAAAGUAUUUUCAUAUAAAUUUUUGGCCAGUAUCAUAUACAGUAAUACAUACAAUUUGUUACAAACCUUUGAGAUGUUGCAAUAGUCUGUUCUGUUGGCUGGCUCUGUCUGUCUGGACUUCAUGCCAGAACAGAUCACUUACUUCACUGAUCCAUAAUUAAACAUGAGGAAUCCCCAAGAAACAUUUCCUGGCAUGACAUCCGUGGCUAGUGGCUUCAAGCACAGCCACUUUGGAAAGCUUGCUUGCCAUGAACAGCCUAUCCAACCAUCAGCAUGCCAUAACCCAGCAGUGGCCAGGAAUACAUGGGCAUACAGCAAUCACCCCCACAAUUUUACAGAAAGUUGUCACCACAAAGAAGUCUGUUCUAGAGAAAGCUGCUACUUUUUGUCUGUCCCUUAAGUGUGAGUAAAUUAGGCUCUUACCUCUUAUGAUAUGAGAAGAUGCCUUGCAGGCUGGAAGACGAUCAGUGCUGUAAAGCAGAAAUGGCAGAUCCCUCAUUACUGCUGCACAGAAUUCCAGAGGCAUGUCACAAAGCGAAAAAGCCAACAUGCUUUAUCUUACAGUUAUUAAAUCCUUGCAGACACAGAUAAGUACACCGGGACAGCAGGGCUGAAGUGGGACAUGUGGACUGUGGGGACGCUGUCCCUUUCUGCCAGACACAGACAUGUACUUACCAUGAAGCUUCCUCUGGAGAUGGGCAGCCCAGAUUCAAGGGCUCUUUUAUAGACUCUGGUCAGCACAUGCUGCAGAUGCCUCCUCUGUCUUUGGGCAAAGAAUUUUGGCAAACCUUGUUUUUGGCAAAGCAUUGUCUGGCAAACUGAACGAACUGAGAACUGUAAAGUGAUGUUAAUAGAUAUAAUUAGAAGUUUUUGGUCUCUCACUAGCUAUGUGAAUAAAUCUCCUAUAAAUAAUAUGAGAAGAUUCCUAAGGAAGAAUUUCAAUGAAUGCUGACUAGAGGGAUGAGGGUAACUACUAAUAACUGUAGGCCAUAGAUGCUCUAUGAAUCUGAGCUAAGGAAGCGGGGACAACCAUUCACUGGACAAGCACAGUGACAUUUGGGUGCAUACCUUAACCUUUUCUGAGGCCACCAUAAGCCUGAUGACAGCUGCCUUUUAACAGAGCUCUCUUCUUACAGACCUUGGAUACGAGACAUGGAUUUUACUGUUGUCUGCAUUGCUAUCUUAAUCAGAUUAUUAAAUAUUACUUUGCUUCCCUUCUUCCAGUUGUAACAUAAUAUAACACAAUGUAUCAGGGAGAAUAGCUACCUUGAACCAAACUAAGUGUUCAUUGAGUUGUAAUCCAUCUCUGGAUAUAAAUAUAAAAUAAUUUUGUGUCGGUAUCUUCCAACAUUUUGAAAUCUUGAGUUUAGAUAUUCAUAGAAAGAUUUAUAGAGAUUUAUAUUUUAAAUUGAUUUAUUGAAAAAUAGUUUCUUUAGUGGUGUUUAUUUCCCUGUCAAUCCCUACUUCUUCCCAUAAUACAAAAAAAAUCAAUAAUCCCUCUCCACAUAACGAGGCAAAUACUACUAAUCAAUCUUAUCUCUACUUCUAUGAACAUCAUUACUUAGUUCUCAUUAGUUUUGACAUUCUCCCCUAUAAUUUUCUUGUUCUUCCUCCUCUCUCUCAAGAUUACAUGCAGUGUUAAUACCGCAGCUCCAUAGAUCUUAACACUGUCUGUCACUGUAUUAGAUAGUUAGCGUUGCUUCCCUGUGUACAUUACUUUGCACUUAUCAACAUUUUUUUUGCCCAGUGUAAGUAUCACAAAAUUAUUUCACAGCUCUUCUCAGUUUAUUUUUUCCCCACUGAGAAUAACUUUGUGUCAUUGAUGAUAUUCUUGGACACCUAGACAUGUGUUUUCAAGGUGGGGAUUAUUUCAUCCUUAGUUGGAAGAACUCUAACACAUUAGACUCAAAUAUGUGGAACUCCAUAUGUAAUGACAGGUAGUCUUACUGUUUGCCUUUAUUGAGACACAUAGUCAGGAUGGAAUACCAAUUCAGGUAAAGAAAAUGCCAGGAGGGCUGCAUGGAGGAAUAAGGAGCCCAUGGCAAAACUCAAGACACAAAAAGGCAUCAUUCAGAGGAUGGAAGCAAGAAGAGGUAACCUGGGAGGAAUGCAGAGACACUGUCCAAACGUGCAAGGAUGAGGUAAGGAAAGCCAAAGCCCUAAUGGGAGUGAAUCUGGCCAGAAAAGAUAAAGACAGCAAGAAGGGCUUCUGUAAUUACAUAGGUGACAAAAAGAGUAGGGAAAAUGUGGGCCCAUUACUGAAAGGUUGGGGGUCCUGGUGAUACAAGAAAUGGAAAAGUCUAAGGUACUAAAUGCUGUUAGCAAGACCUUCAGGAAUCCUAGGUCGCAGAGAGCAGGGAGAAAGUCUGGAGGAAGGCAGGUAUACCCUUGGUGGAAGAGGAUCAGGUCAGGGAAUACUUAAGCAAACUGGACAUACAAAAGUUCAUGGGCCCUGAAGGGAUAUACCCACGAGUUCUGAGGGAGAUGGCUGGUGUCAUUGUGAGGCCAGUUUUGAUAAUCUUUGAUCAAUCAUGGCGAUUAGCAGAAAUGCAUGAAGGCUGGAGGAAAGCAAACAUUCCUAUCUUCAAGAAGGACAAGAAGAAGGUCCAAGGGAACUACAGGCCAGUAAGCUUCAACUUGGUUCUUGGGAAGGUAUUGGAGCAACUAAUCCUGGGAACCAUUUCCAAGCACCUGUAGGACAAUAAAAUCAGUCAGCAUGGCUUCACCAAGGGGAAAUCAUGCUUUAUCAACCUUAUCACAUUUUAUGAUGAAAUGACUGGCAUAGUAGAUAAGAGCAGAGCAGUGGAUACUGUCAACCUUGACUUCAGGAAGGCCUUUGUCACUGUCUCACAUACGAUCCUUAUAGAGAAGCUGUUGAAGUGUGGACUCAAUGAAAAGACAGUGAUGUGGACUGAAAACUGUCUGAAUGGCCAGACUCAGAGGGUGUUGAUGAGUGACACAAAGUCUAGUUGGAGACUAAUUACUAUCCCUGAACCCUAGGAGUCAAUACUAUGUUCUGUUCUGUUUAUCAUCUUCAUUAACAUCAUCUAGAUGAUGGGGCAGAGUGCACCUUAGCAAGUUCACUAAUGACACAAAACUGGGAGGAGUAGCUGAUAUGCCAGAGGUUCAGGUCAGGCUGUCAUACAGAGGAACCUGGAUAGACUAGAGAAACGGGCUGACAGGAAUCUCAUGCAAUUCAACAAUGAGCUUGCACCUGGAGAGGAGGGACAAUGCUUUGCAGAAAAGGACCUGGAGGUCCUGGUGAACACCAAGCUCAACAUGAGCCAGUGACGUGAGCCUUGCUGCAAAGAAGGCUAACAAGUCCUGGGCUGAAUUAGGACGACUAUUGCCAGUGGGUGGAGAGACUUGAUCCUUCUCAUCUGCACAUCACUGGUGAGGCCACACCUGGAGUAAUUGUUCAGUUCUGGGCUCCACAGAGACAUGGACAUACUGGAGGGAGUCCAACAAAGGACUGUGAAAAUGAUUAAGGGACUGAAGCAUGUCCUAUGAAGAAAGGCUGAGAGAGCUGGAACUGAGGGAGCCUAGAGAAGAGAAGGUUCAGGGCAUCUCAUCCAAGUAUGUAAGUACCUGAAGACAGGGUGUAGAGAAGGUGGAGCCAGGCUCUUUUCAUUGUUGCCUAGUGACAGGAACAAGUAAAAACUGGAACACAGGAAGCUCCAUUAGAACAUUAAGAAACAUUUUUUCACUGUGAGGAUGACCAAACACUGAAAUAGGUUGCCCAGAGAUGAUGUGGAGUCCCCAUCCUUACAGAUAAUAAAAAGUCAGCUGGACAUGGUCCUCAGCAGCUUCUAGAAGGCGUUAGAAUGGUGCUUGUCCAGUCCACCAGAGGUGGCAAGAACCAGUUGUAGAUUUUUCUCAUUUUUAUACUUGGACAUUCUCUGUUGGGUGUUCAACCAACAUUGCUGCAGACAUCACUCAACUAUCAACUACAAAGAAUAAGUGCCAUUUUUUCAGAUCUCUUUGGCUCACGAUUUAAUCUAAAUAUACAGGGUUUUCAAUGUUUUUCACUUCUUUCAGCAGCCUGGCUUUGCUGCCCAUGACCAUCUUGUAUAAUGUGAGGAAGUCUAUGCCAUUUUCACUCCUCAGCAUGAACUAUAUCAUAAGAAAGUAACAUAAAUAUCUCUCUCCUAGCAGCUAGGCACCAGAACCAGCCAUCACUUCAGGGUCAGAAAACGGGGAACAAGCUAGCUCUUGUUAGUGAGGGACAUAGGGAGCUUCAUUCUCUUCAUGUUUUGCACAGAAGACUUGGAGACUUUGAGAAGGUUGUGAGACAGAACUGGUGCUUGAACAGUUUUGGUAAAUGGUGUCAUGCAAAAUGAAAUAAAUAAUAUGUAUAAGAUGGGUUAUCACAUCCUGUUACAUCAUUCAUCCAGUUUACAUAUGACUAGUUAAAUUUACCAUUGCUAUGGUGCUUCCUGCUUUGCAUCCUCUUGUUCCCCAUCAGGACAUUAUAGUUUUCACUAAUUUGGUUCGAUGAACCCUAUACCAUAUUUUUCUGCUUUGGCUUUCAAUUUCAAUCCCAAAUAAUUUUCUGCUACUUGUUAACACGUGUCUUUUAUCACAGGGUGUGACUCUAGUCUUUUGUUUCAUGCUUCCCUCGUAUUACAUGCUAUGCCAAUGCAGUAUCCUUUCUGUUUCCUGUCUUUUGCAAAAGUCCAGGGAUUCCUAAGGCCUCUCAUGUGAAAGACUACAGCCUUCUGUUAUUUACGCAUGAAAGAGUGAUUGUGGCUUUCUCUUCUGGAGAGAUUCAGUCAGAUUAUUGAGCAUAGGUAUGCCAUAGCCACUAUCUGUCACUAGGUGUUUACCUCCUCAUAGGAUAAAUUUUGGUAUUACUAAGAUAAUUGUAACAGCCUUCUGAGCCACUGGAACAGCUAACUUCUGAUGCAAAAAUGAGAUUUUGUUCUCCCUGUUUUUUUUCACUGAUAUUCAUUUUUGUUCAGUCCUGGAAGAGGAGGAGUUUGAGAGGAGAAGUGGCAUCUCCCACUGAACGCAAACCCAAUAUGCCAUUUCAACUUACCUCAUCUUUAGCAGCUGCUCCUUUAGGUUCAGCUAAAGUUUCAGAAUUUACAGAUCUCUGUUAUUGUCAGCUUAAAGUAGAUAAGUGAGACUGGAAGGCCAAGCCAGGUUAAUUUGUGAGAGCUUUCACUGAAACUGCAAGUUUUUAUUCUAAACCUACUGAAAAAGACAAAAAAAAGUCAACCAUUAUUUUUCUGCCAUUCUUGUUUCCAUCCAUCUCUGCAGGGCUGGAUGCCACCAAUGAUGGAAUUAAAACACAGCACAGCUGAAAGAGGAGAGACAAACUGAAAGACAUCUGUGGAUACAGACUGCUCUGCACAACAAUGUGAUGUGGGCCAAACACUGGACUGCUGAUAUUCCCCAUGGGAAAUACAGAAUGACAGAUUGGCUGAGGUUGGAAGUGACCUCUGGAGGUCAUCUGUUCCAACCUGCCUGUGCAAGCAGGACCACCUAGAACCAGUUGCCAUCUACAGCUACAUCAGGCAGCUACCUCACUUUCUACCAUACCUUAUGACACAACUGCUUCUCCCCCAUCUUCUGUGAUUAUUGAAAAGAAUCUGAGAGUGAGGCCACAUUUUAGUGCAGCUUGAAUGAUGGAAGUAAGCAAAAAGUUCUCAAGAAUGGCUGGCAAAAUUCUUGCUUAUAUCUAGUUCAAAAAGUGAUUUCUGCCGCCCUGAAGCCUACAGUCAUGUCUUAAAUAAGAAAAGGAAAGAAAGAAAGAAGAAAAAUGAGAGCCAUUAUUGCUGUUGGAGAGCUAUAACUUAUCUUCCUGCUCUAAAUAACAAAUGAAAACAUAAGGAAUAAGGUUACACAUAAGAUGAAAACUAGUUGUUAUUUUAGGGAAAAAAAUGCAUGGAAUUGUCCAUAAAUGUAUUUUCAAUAAACAGGAACAAGUUAAUGUCAAAAAAUUCAGAAUCCCUGACAUGGUAACAUUACCUCAUGCUUGAAAUGAGAAUAUGUAAAAAAUGUGUGAUACUUAUUAAGGUAUUAAUCUGACUGCAGUCUCUGGGACAAGAAAGUAGGUAUUUUUUCCUGUUUCCCAAGAACUGGGGUAUUGACCAUAACUACAUUUGAAGAGUAUACUGACAUAAAUAAGGCACAAAUAGCUUUCUAGAAGCAAAAUUAUCUUUUUGCUGGAAUGUGUGUGUACUGUCUGGAAGGCUAAAAUGAGAGCUGAAAUGAUAAUUUGAUAUUUAAUCCACGUGAGCUGUGUGACACUGGGGUAAAUACUACCCUGCUGUAUCAAUUCUGAGGUAGGAUGAGAGCUUGUCAGCAAUAAUGCCUCAGAGUUCAGAGCAUCAGUGGAAGUCACAGGAGUGCUGCAGACUUCACAAAGAAACAAGAUGAUGCUGAGUGUAUCAGUUGACAUUUGAAAACUGCUGGUGUAGCCAUAGUGGUACUGUAUAAAACCCUGAUGACACCUGCUCAAAAACACUCUGUACAAUCUCAGACAAAUGUACUGGAGGGACAACACAUCCUUGAGCUUCAACUGAUCCCUACCAUAUAGGAGCUGCUCACCAAACCUGCUCAGCUCCAGACUGAAGGCAAUAUUCUGCAGGAUGACCACGUGUCGUGGUUUAACCUGAGUGAGCAAUAUAACCAUGACAGCUGCUUGCUCACUUCCCCACAACUCGCACCCCCAAAUAGGGGAGAGAAUCAAAAGGGAAGGGAGAAACUUGUGGAUUGAGAUAAACAAAGUUUAAUAAAAUAACUAUAUAGCACUAAUAUACCACUAUUAAUAAUAAUAUAUAUUAAAUGGAAAUAGAAUAUAAAAUAAAAGAUACUCAAUGUAAUUCCUCAUUAACUCCAUCUGCACUGAGCAGCCGGUCCCAGGAAACAGCACCCUGGUCCCGAACAACUGGUUGCAGAAAGAGAGAAAAACGCAGAAAGGCACCAAGGUCUCUGCAAAUCAGCAGCAUGGUGAAAGGCCAAAAUAAACUCUCAAACAGAACUCUCCUGAACAGGUCUCUGACUCGGCUCUGAUCCAACUCCCAGCCUAGCUGGAAGAUCCUGACUCUGUAAAAAUGAAGCACGAUGCUAAUGGGAUAGAGUAUUCUUAUCAAGGUUUGUCCCAUCCAUGCCCCCUCUUCCCAGCUGCCUCACACCUGUGGAUGGAGAUCCCAGAAAAAGUCCAUGGCUCCCAGAUAACAGCAAUUAAAAACAUAAACUCUGUCCUGGGUUGUUAUCUUCUUGUUCUCAAACUGAUUCCGAACAAUGAUCAUGCUAGAUACAAAAAAGAAAGGUUGCUAACUGCAUGAAGAAAAUCAACUUGUUUUCAGUCAAACAGGCACACCAUGUCUGCCCAGCUGCCACACAUUCAUGCCACCAUAAUUGCUCCAGCCACUGUCCGAUAUGGCACUUUGCUCGCCCUUCAACAACCCCAAAGGCAGUUGAACAUGUCUUAGGCCUGCCAUCAGUCCCACCCAUUCAGCUCCUUCUCUCUCCAUGAUGUGGCAGCACAGCAUCCCUCCUCCAGAGCUGCUCCUUUGCUUCCGGGCCUUGGACAGUACCCAAGAGGCACUGACAAGCCACCCACUUGUUUUCAGACGGGACAGAUCCUUACAAAGCAAUCCUAUGGGGUGUUGCCUCCCUGGACUCUGUCUCCUUCACAUCGAUGACUUGCCAAAUCAAAACCAAAGGCAGUCUGGAGCCAGUAUCACCAGGCACAGCACAAGACACCUUGCCCAGGUUAGAAGAGGGCCCCAGCUGGCCCUGGCUCCAGAAGCUUUGCUGAAAGCCCUGCUGGUGUGUCCCCAUUGCCCAUAGGAGCCCGUGAGCAGGAUUUGCUCAGCUGUGAGCAGGCCCAGCUGUGCUGUGGUCCCAUGUUGGCAUCUGAACCCAGGGAGCAUCCAAGGCUGUGGCUCGACAGCCAUGGGAUGGAUGCCUGUGCUCAGCCUGUCUGUGCAAACAGAGAGGUGUCCUCCCUCCCAGGGAGCAGAGCCUGCCCAGGCACCGGAGCAGCAGCACCUGGGCUCCAGGCGCCCCAUGUUAUGGCCUCUUUGCCAGGUGCUGACUCCAAGGGGGCCUACCUGCCUUGCUGCUGCACAUUGGCUGGUGGUGACAGGACACAGCAGUUGCUUUCGGUCAGUGUCUACAUGGCAGUUGCUGAGAGCAUCGCUGGUAUUAUUUGAGGCAAUGGACAGUGGUGCCUGCACACAUAUCUUCUACUGACAUCCAGAGGGACCAGGACAAGCUUGAGAAGUGGGAUGUCUUGAACUUCAUGAGAUUCAACAAGGCCAAAUGCAAGCUCCUGAACCCAGAUCAGGGCAACUCCUGGUAUCAAUCCAGGCUGGGGGAUGAAGUCGUUGAGAGCAGCUCUGUGGAAAACGACUUGGGGAUACUGGUGGAUGAAAGAUUGGACACAAGCUGAUAAUGUGCACUUGCAGCUCAGAAGGCAAAUAGUAUCAUGGGCUGCAUGACAAGAACUGUGGCUAGCAGGUCGAUGGAGGUGAUUCUGCCCCUCUGCUCUGCUCUAGUGAGACGCCCCUGCAGUGCUGGUCUAGCUCUGGGGUCCUCAGCACAAGACAGACGCGGACCUGCUGGAGAGGGGCCAUAGGAGCCGCAGAAAUGAUCAGAGGGAUGGUACAACUGCUGGGAGGACAGGCUGAUUUAUCUUAAAGGUUGUCAGCAACUGGUGAACAGUAACAUUUAGUUUUGAUGGGAAGCAGAUGAUAGGUCUUUCCAGGGGAGGAACAGUCAGUCAGGAGGCACUCAGUGGUGGCAGCAGCAAGUUCCUGUGGCUGAGCACUAGACCAGGGCAGACAAUGGGCUUCCCAGAGGCAGGGAAACUUGAGGAAGAGGCAGUUCUGGCAUUCACGCCAAGAAGCAGCAGAUCUUGGGAGUGAGGCUGACAUGGAGGGGGCAUUGCCAGGAUAUUUAAAUGACCCCUAGGGAGCACAGGUGACCAGGAGCACAGUGAACAGGGCCAGCAAACAGGAAUGAGGCAGUUAGCGGGGUAGUUUGCACAAAAGGGCAAGCAGCAAGGGCGAUGCAGGUCUGCCAGCCCAAGACAUUAGUGCAGUUAGUGGUUAUCACCCUUGCAGGAGGAACCUAACUAUGGUAGCCACUCAGAAGGAAGGUAAGUCCCCUGCAUCUGCCAUGAAGAAGGCAACAACACAGACAGAGCUGCCAAGGAAACAUGCAGCCAUCCAGACCUAAGGCUGCAGGGAAUGCCAGUCUCCCACUGGCAUGGAAUGGUAAGAGAUAGCUGGCAUGGAAUGGUAAGAGAUAGAACAGACGUGUGAGGUGUGAGCAGGUGGAUGACCUGCUCAGCCUGGUGCUGGAGCUAAAAGAAGAGACAGAAAGGUUGCAAAGUAUCAGGGAGACAGAGAAAGAAAUAGACUGGUGGGAUCAAGCCCUGACCUCCUGAGACAUGAAAGGCCACCACCAAAUAACCAAGACCAAUAGAGUUCAUUACCCUCCCCCUGACUGACUAGUCAAGGUAAAGGGAUGAAUGGAAACAAGUCCACACGUGUAGCAGCAAGCGGAACAUCGCCUUGUCCACUCCACCCUGGCCAGGUGCCUCUAUACAACAGGUACGAGCCGCUGAAAGUGGAAGGCCAGGCAAUGGCUGAUGAAAAUGAAGGACUAUCUACACCACCUCUACCACAGGUACUCACACAAUCUGAAAGGCCUAACCCCCAUAUUACAACCAUGUCCACAAGAAAAAAAAAGGAGUGUUAUAGUUGUAGGUGACUCCCUUCUGGGGGUUAUGGAGGGCCCAAUAUGCUGGAAGGACUCUCCUCUUAGGGAUGUCUCUUGCCUUCCUGAGUCCCGGGUUAAGCAUAUUGACAGGAAACUUCCUAGUUUGGUAUGGCCCUGAACUGGUUUUUCAUGUAGGUGGCAAUGAAGUUGUGACCCAUAAUCCAAGGGCAAUUAAAAGAGACUUUGGGGCCUUGGGAUGGUUUAGAAAUAUGUCAAGGAUGGAUGUCAAGAGGAUGGGGCCAGUCUUCUUUUAGUGGUGCCCAACAAUAGGAUGAAGGGCAACGGGCACAGACUGAAACACAAGAGGUUCCAUCUCAAUAUGAGGAAUAACUUCUUUGCUUUGAGGGUGACAAAGCCAUAGAACAGGCUGCCCAGAGACGUUGUGGAGUGUCCUUCUCUGGAGACACUGAAGACCCACCUGGACACAUUCCUGUGUGAUCUCCUCUAGGUGGACCUGCUUUAGCAGGUGGGUUGGACUAGAUGAUCUCCAGAGGUCUCUUCCAACCUUUACCAUUCUGUGACUCAGUAACCAUGUAUGUAUGUAUGCAUAAGGUAGGAACUGAUGUCUUGUUUAGGGGAGGGAUUAAGGUGUUUGGGUUUAGUGUGGGUGCAAAUAAAACUGUCUUCUGAAGGAAGAAGAAGAGUGUUUAAGGAUAACCUGGGAAGGGUAAGGAUAACCUGGGAAGGGUAAGCACUUUUCAGUAGCACAUCUCCAGUGCACUGUUCUUUGUAGUGUAAGGUUUGUUCUUGCCUGAGCCGUCUAUUUGCAUACACUACAUUAUCACUCAUUGCCCAUCCUUGGAGUCAAGUCCACCGGUAGACAGGGUAGUAAGGGAUAAACAGGUAUUCUGGAGGAUCUUAGGCCACUAUUUAUACCUCUUUCUGCAAUAUCUCACCUGAUGUUGUAAGUGCUACAAGCUACCAGUAGUUGUAAGAACUCACUAGGACCUUGUGGCUAGAGCAUGGAAGGUAUGUGCAACCUUGGCCUGUCAUGCCUUGUUGAAGGUGCAAUGCCUGUUUUGGCAACACUGUAUGACUCAGGGAAGGAAGGGAUGUGUGCUAUCAUCACUACACACUGUGGCACUUGACCACUGCAGGGGUUGCACAGUUGUUCAGACAACACAAAGCAUCAGUAUCAUAAACUUGGCAAUUCUAACCAGUAGUAUCAUCCAUAAAUUUUCUAUAAUGAACAAGGGCCAUAUAAAAUAAGAUAACAAAAGACUUUCAUUUAUUUACAAGAACAAAGUGGUAGCGCUGCAAAUGUAGGAGUAUAUCCCACAGUGGGUCAAUCCUUUCUAAAUGGAGCUCCUGAUAAACUCAUACAGACUGCACGAAAAGGCAUGGUCUACAAGACAUCAGCCAUCAGGAGACUUAUGGUGAACUUGCUCAUGCAGUUAGCUUAACACAGGUUGUUGUGAGUGAGACAUUCCCAGGAUCCAGAGGAAAACUCACAUUUCCUUGGUGAGUACCUUGUGUUGCUCAUAGAAGGUCUGUAGUCUCACUGCUUGGUACUUUUCCUUAAUAACAGAGGUCUGAGUUGUGUUGUUGCUGUCAACCAGGCCAUUAAGGCCACUGCAUGAGGUUGGCCUCAAAUGAAAUACUCAAAGUAUGUGCAAAGCAGUAGAUAAGUAGACAGCAAGGUGAUAAAAGAAGUGCUAAGCAGAAGUUAGGAUUUUUUUUUUUUUUAACUAGGCUAUUUUACAUUGAAUGCUGGUGUGCUCAUGAAAAGUCAUUUGCACACUGUGCAAUAAAGAUCAAGGAUGUGGAAAUCUGGAGAGUCAAGGAACAGUUGUCACACCACAGUGUCCUGCAGCCCAUGCAGAGGAGGAGGACAGCAUACCAUGCCCAGAGGCCACAGCAGUGGUGUUACCAAGGCUGCACCACAUGCUCUGGUGCCCAAGAUAUACUCUCUUGGGUACAAAGACAAUGUAGAUGUUGUUGUUGAGUAACCUCUCUGAGGAGGCAGUGUGCCUGAAGAAUGGUCUCCUAGGGGCAUAGCUGGGCCAUCGGCUGUCAGGAUACAUCCCAUUGUGCAUCCCAGAGCUGCUGCAGUUUAGUGCUGUGAACUGUCACAUGAGGUGCUGUUUUAUGUGUGCCAGAUGGCACAGGAAAAUUUAUGGGUGUUCACUCACGUAGCAGCUGACAAAGAAAUGUAGAAAGGCAUGUUUGUGUUACUAAUAUUAAAAGCAAGUUUACUUACUGCUGGUUGUUUUCUAUCCACACAUGAAACAAUCUUCCCCUUCUCCACACGACUGCUGAUUUUAUAGAUGUCUAUCACAUCCUGCCUCAAUCAUUUCUUCUUUCAUCUGAAGAUGUCCUUGUAUGGGAGCAGUUCUCUGUCUCUACUAUAACUUGAGACCUUUCUCUGUACCUUUUUGGGAGCUGGUUGCCAAAACUAAAUUCAAUAUUCAGUCUUUGGACACAUGAAUGAUUAAUACCAUGACAUAACGAUAUAUUCUGAUCUGUCAACAGUGUCUUCCAUAAAAACUCCUAUUUUGCCACCUGUGCUGUCAGCCUGAUUUUGAGCUGACAAUUCAGAGGACCAUCAUAAAUAUCCUAAGAUCUUUUUUGUGAAUAAACAGUUUUUUCUGCAUGUAGAUAAAUUAUUAAUUUAUUUACGUUAAACACCACUAAUCUAAAUUUCACCUGAGUGGUUAGACAAUCAUCCAAUUAUUCUGUGUCAUGACAUUCCAUACAAUUUUAGUGUCACAAGUAGACCUUACCAUGAUUUUGUCAUUUUUUUUUUAAGUCCUUUUUUUCCAGGUCAGUUAUGUGUAUGUUGAACUGCACAGGUCAUAACGCACAUCUCUGUGAGAACCUGCUUGUGGCUCCCCACCUCAGAUAAGCAUUUAUUUCCAUAUUUCAUGUCCUGUCUUCUAAUCCAGAAGGUGUAUAUCUUUCUAGUCAAAGCAACUUUUGCCCAUGUUGUGUGUGAGCAUGUGUAUACUUUUCAAAAUCUCAUCAUACUGCAUUGACAAGAUCAUCCUUACCCAUGUCCCUGUUGAUUCUCCUGAAGUCAAAACUACUGUGAGAGAUGGCUUUCAAUUUCAAAUUCUGUUCUUAUUGUGGUUUCUACCAAUUUGUCUUCUUCAGAUGUUAGACUGAUAGAUCUACUUGUCCACAAUCAGGAAAGUUUUAAAUGUCUAAUAUCACACAUACAACAUUUUCUUCCCUUGGUACUA